rnacentral:lncRNA from 1 species
CAUUCUCCUCGUGUAUUACUUUUGGAGAAUACUGAUUCUAUCUAAUUUGUCAUCUUUCUUCUAGGAUGUGUAGGCUAGAAUAAUAUGAUAAUAAAAUUAAAAAAAAUUAUCUAUAGAUCUCUGGAUGGACUCGAUAUUAUUUUUAAGUCUCUUGAUUUUUUAAAUUGAAUAAAAAAUCUCUGAAAUGCUAAGAAGUUAUUUCUAGGUCCUUGCCAUCCCCACAGAUUGAUUACACAGGUCUAUAUUCAGGUUACAUGA